rnacentral:piRNA from 1 species
UUCCNGGAGAGCCUCCCUUGGCUGACAUGG